UACGAAGGGGGCUAGCGUUGUUCGGAAUCACUGGGCGUAAAGCGCACGUAGGCGGAUUGUUAAGUCGGGGGUGAAAUCCUGAGGCUCAACCUCAGAACUGCCUCCGAUACUGGCAAUCUCGAGUUCGGAAGAGGUUGGUGGAACAGCUAGUGUAGAGGUGAAAAUCGUAGAUAUUAGCUAGAACACCAGUGGCGAAGGCGGCCAACUGGUCCGACACUGACGCUGAGGUGCGAAAGCGUGGGGAGCAAACAGG
rnacentral:rRNA from 1 species